rnacentral:rRNA from 1 species
UGGGGAAUAUUGGACAAUGGGCGAAAGCCUGAUCCAGCCAUGCCGCGUGAGUGAUGAAGGCCUUAGGGUUGUAAAGCUCUUUUAUCCGGGAAGAUAGUGACUGUACCGGAAGAAUAAGCCCCGGCUAACUUCGUGCCAGCAGCCGCGGUAAUACGAAGGGGGCUAGCGUUGCUCGGAAUCACUGGGCGUAAAGGGCGCGUAGGCGGCCGAUCAAGUCAGAGGUGAAAGCCCAGGGCUCAACCCUGGAAUU